ACACAUCUUCCUUCUUUUCCUCCCCCUCUCACAGAAGGUCGCCCUGGCGUCCUAGGGAAAGGGUGGGUCAGAACAACAUACACGAAAUAAUCCAGUCACGCAAACACACAGAUCACAAAAUCAUUAGCGAUCCCUGCAAGACCUUUCACGAGGUCAUCUCACCAACCCUCUACUUGAAGGGUCGAAACACCCGAGGUUUAACUGCCUGCGACUCACGUGUCUGUGCGGCAGCUUCCCUGCGACUUCGGGGGCGGGAGGCCGAGCACCUGUGCGCCGCGCCUCUUGCGGGGACAGCUGCGCGCAUCCCUCAGGCCCGCCGACCGCACCAUCUGACCUGCCCGGAACGAAAUCCGAGCCUCGGAAUUCGAACGGCCCCGCGCACCUCCCUUCUCAGAUAAAUCUCCUAGGAGAGGAUCGUUCCUCUCUACUCAGAGAUUAUUUAGGGAGAUGUCCUGGGCGGGAUAGGUAGACAUACGAUAGCCCAAGGAAAACGUUAAAUUGUAGACACUUAAGCACCAACUGUCUGGAGCCCUGAAGGAAAGGGAG
ensembl:lncRNA